UACGAAGGGUGCGAGCGUUAAUCGGAAUUACUGGGCGUAAAGCGUGCGCAGGCGGUUUUGUAAGCCAGAUGUGAAAGCCCCGGGCUUAACCUGGGAAUGGCAUUUGGGACUGCAAGGCUGGAGUGUGGCAGAGGAGACUGGAAUUCCUGGUGUAGCAGUGAAAUGCGUAGAUAUCAGGAGGAAUACCGAUGGCGAAGGCAGGUCUCUGGGCUGACACUGACGCUCAUGCACGAAAGCGUGGGGAGCAAACAGG
rnacentral:rRNA from 1 species